CACUGAACAUCGACAUCUUGAACGCAUAUUGCGGCCUCGGCUCAAUGCCGAAGCCCCGCCUGUCCGAGGGUAGGCU
rnacentral:rRNA from 1 species